UGUGUUUUGCUGACUGGACUUGAAGCUGAAAGCUGUGUCUACUGGCACUCUGUUUUGCUGGGUGUUUUUGCUGUGGAUACACUCUGAACUGCUGGAAUACCUGCUGCUCUUGAGCAUAGAUAACAAGAAGUUGUUGAUAUUAGCCCUUCCUGCCACAAGGAAUACCUGUGAGUUAUUGGAAAACUUCUGAAGGACAACACAGUCAUUGCUCACAGCCAGYAYGGCUUCAUGAGGAAAGUCCUGCUUAUCAAACCUAAUUUCCUUUUAUGACAAGGUAACCCACCUAGCUGAUCAAUGGAAGCCAGUAGAUGUAAUUUCUUAAUAUUCAGUAAAGCUUUUGAUACUCUCUGUCGUAAGAUCCUUCUGGACAAAAUAUGCAUCCCACAGAGGGAUAAACAUCCUGUGAUGGGUGAGCAGCUGGCUUAACGGCUCUGCAGAUCAGCGUGGUUUGCAAAGUACCUGCAGAAGUUCAAGAAGAUGGUUAGAACAGCCAGGAAGAGAUCUCAGACUGAGCCUGAUGCAAAAAGACAAAGAAUAAAUGGUACCUAAAGAUACAGAAAGGAUGAAAUGAGAACACAUGCUCUUGAUUUGAAAGUCUUGCCUGASCACAGGAAGGAAUUGUUGAUUUGCAUGGCAGCCGCAGUCAGGUUAAUGGAAUCAUGGAAUCAUGGAAUCAUAGAAUGGUUUUGGGUGGAAGGGACCUUAAAGAUCAUCUCACUCAAACACCUUCCACUAGACCAGAUUGCUCAAAGCCCCAUCCAAAUGGCCUUGAGCACUCCUAGGGAUGGGGCAUUAAAAGCUUUGAGAAACCUGUMGCAUUACCUCACCAUCUUCAUGGUAGAGAAUUUCUUCCUUACAGCUAGUCUGAAASUACUCUCUUUCAGUUAAAGCCAUUCCCCCUGUUCUGUCUCUACACACUCUCUGAAAAGUCCAUGUCCAGCUCUCUUGUAACCUGGAAGGUUCUAUAAGGUUUCCCCAAAGCCUUCUCUUCUCCAGGAUGAGCAACCCCAACUCUCUCAGCUUUUCCUCACAGGAGAGGUGCUCCAUUGCUAUAAUCAUCUYUGGACUUGCUCCACAGAUCCACGUCCUUCCUAUGUUGAGGACCCAGAGCUGCAUGUGGGGCCUCAGCAGAGCAAAGUAGAAGGACAGAAUUGCCUCCCUUGUCCUGCUGGCCACACUGCUUGGGAUGCAGCCCAGGACACAGUUGGCUUUCUGGGCUGCAAACACACAUUGCUGGGUCAUGUGUAGCUUCUUAUCAACCUAGCUAUUUUUUUUCACCUGCAUUUAGAACAGGUGCAGGCAUUUCUGUUAUGUGUGAACUUCACUGCAGCUACCCUUGCUCUGAUUGCAUUACAAAUGAGGCUAUUGCAAAGAGGUGUGCACGAUGCUGUAUCUAGAGAGAUCCUGGAAGCUGAAAACCAGAGCAGAAAUAUGCAACGCAUCUGAGAAUCCACAAAUUAAAGGAUGAGCCAGAGAGGAUACAAUAGCUGUGCCCUUUUGUCUCAUUACAGUACUUCUGGCAGCAGAUCUGAAAUCAUUACCAAACAGUUAAACCUUUUUUCCCUUGGCAAUCCCUCUGGAGCAUCCCCUUAGUGCACAAUAGGGCAGAAGGGAACGCUGGAAGUUUUGCACUGGUGUCUGUGCUGCUUUCAAGUGUAUUCUGGACCAAAUGUGCUCUGAYGUGUCCUGACUGGCAUGGCUGGAGACAACCAAAGUGUUCACAACAACUCAUCCCCUUGGAGAAGGAAAGCAAACCUUGUUCUAGGGCAUUAAAUGUUCAAGAAGGUCCUUGUCAGAGAGGCUUCCAUGGAGACUGUGGCUGUUCAUGAUUGUCCUUUGAACAGAAGAGGAGGAAGAGUAGGAGACAGCAGAAGAGAGGUAAAGGAACAUUGCCAGCACUGAAAAUCUGGUAUUAAGCUCGGAAGCCCCCUCUCAGGGUGGCUSUGUUUACCUCUGGAGUGACUUGGCUGUGCAGUGGAUGUACACACAGUGCCCAAGCUGGAUUACCCUCGUGGGGCAGCAUYCAUAAAUGACCUAAGAGGGAUAUAAAUACAGUCAGGGUGAGCACUGUGAGCAGUGCAGGAUUCUGAUACAUUACAACAUUUCUGUGCCAGUGAAAAAAAUAGUGAAAGCUGCAGUGCUUCUGCUGACAGAGACUGAUCUUUGGCAUACUAUUUUCCAAGGAAAUGCUUAAGGCUGAACCUCGCUUUUCCCUGUGGUUUGCCAGAAAGCAGACAUGUCAGUUUUUCGGUGCUUUAAAUCAGAGAUGUGUGAGAUGAAAACGAAAUCCUGGUCACCUAGGGGCCCACAAGAGAGAGCAAAGAAGUUUGUCAUAUCAAAAAUCUCUGUUCUUAGAGCAAUAAAGAAGCAUGUGGGCUGUCCACUUGGUCUUGUUGAAUUUUGGAUACUAUGUCGUUCAUGUGUUGCAAAAACACAAGACAUCAAAUGUCUUUUUAUUUGUUUUCUGUAAGUAAAACAAAGCACUCUUUUCUCAUUUUUAAUUGAGCAAUAAACUUCUAAAAUUAUCAUAUAAUACAUUAUUUUGUAACACCAUCUUGCCCAAGUAAUGGAUACAUAGACAGCAUGGAAGACCAUCUAAGAGGCUAAUGUGUGUUAGUUUCUCAGGAACACAGAAAAUAUUUUGCUACCUUUUUUUUACUCAGAUUUCAAUGGCCCUGGAAUAUUCUCUUUUUCUGGAAUCUAAAUCCUUUCCUGAAAGUCUUAAGUCYACUGGCAGUGUGACAGGGCUGGAACACCUGAGAUUCACACUUGAGAAUCAGCACUAAGUACUACAACUGUGUACUAGAGGAGAUUGAUGCGGAUUUUGGGGGUGAUUUUUGGGUCCAAUUAACACUCAUGUUUGCAAUGUAGAAAGACCUCUGAUUGGUGACUAAUCUUUAUUAUGAGAUUUGGUUGUUUCCAGCUUUUUGUAAGAUUCUAUUUCUUUUGUGGGAUUGCUUGUGUACAAACAAUGUCCCAUUUCCACUUCGGCAAGAAAAAAAAUUGCAGUUCUGUGAUAACUAAAAUUAGGAUGUAAUGCAGCCAAAUUAUAUAAAACAUGCACCAGUAAAAGUGUUUAAAUCAUUCAAAAAAUAAAAGUUUUGCUUCCAAAAGAUCUCUUGGAAACUUUCAUUUUUAAUAAGCUGAUAGUUGGGGGGAUAGAGAGAAAUGCAAAUUUAGACUUUCAAAUGUAAAUUUUAUCCAAGUAACAUMUUUUUUAAAAGUAUAUUUAGGUUCUGUUGAUUUGUUCUUUGGUAUUUGGCAAGAUUGUAAGCAGAACCUCUGUUAGACAUGACUAGGGGGAAGUUGUAACAUAAAUAAAAUAUUAACCUAAUUAAAUUGCAUCUUUUUAAAACUUGAUAAACCUUGUGAGGUCCUACACGUGAGUGUUGAACAGAUCCAAAGUUCCAUGGAAGGAAGAGGUGCUAAGAUUCUCCAAAAGGUCAUCUUCUAAUGCAUCAAACAUAUCUGGUUGUUCUUUAGCAAGUAUAAAGACCUAAUCAAGAGUACAUUAAAUUUUAUUUYAGUGAAAGGAGCUGAAACUAAUUGUUUUAAGUAGACUUUGCCUUUCUUACUUACACUGUAUACUUGCUGCACCAUUUAAAACUUACAUGUUCCUUAAAUAUUAUGUGGUAUUUCAGAGAGUUUGCAUUGCAUUACCAUUUCCAUUGGUAUGUCGUAUUGCCUGUGCAGCACAUGCUGUCAUUUCCUGAAGCCACUGUGCAAAUUUGGUACCCUUGGAAGAAAUCAGUGUUUGUUGCUUUAAUUUUUGGUGGGAAGCUGGCAUUCUGUCAUUUCAGYUCAUCAUAUUAUUAUGCAUGUAAUAAUGUGACAUGCUUAACUGCUAGCUUCAAGCUGAACAUUUAAUGUGGGAUACACCUACAGUGUUUUCAUUUCAGAUAGCUGCAAUCAGACCUCAGAGCAGCUUUCUCAUCUGGAAAGAUAAAGUCCAUGGCAUUCACUUUUUUGACAUGGACAGAUUUGUUUUAACAUGUUCAGAAUAUAUAAAAAUGUGAUGAGAGAAUUCUAGCCCACCUUGAGGUGGGCUAAAAUAAAAGAUCACUAUAGAUUUUCGCACAUGUAUCAGUUGGUAUGUUUUUAUGUAUGUKCUUGAAUGUGUGUGUUAAUGUGAAAGAGAGGAAAUAAAUUUAACCUUAACUGUUGUGAAGUGCAUUACAGAGUUAAUUAGUGAUUGUAAAUCUAUGAGAUAGUGUAUAUGUAUUAAGAUGUAUUGAAAUUCCAGCCUGUAGAUAUGUCAAGGAAUCUGACAAUCACUGAAUGGAAAAAAAAUAAAACAUGAC